UAAACACUAGAACAAAAACUAAAUAGGCUAAAUAAAAACUACUUUAGUUUUUGUAUUUCCAAUCAAUUCUGGAUAAUCUGAUUGAAUUAAUCUCCUAAGCAUACAUUGUUUUAUACUUGUGUUCGGUCGGAGAGAGAGCAGCCAGGAAAAGGUGGCAAUUGUGGGCAUGUGAUAUAAUAAGUCACAUGAUCACUCUCUUGCCGCUUGUUUGCUCUAGUCUCCACCUAUUUCCUCUACACCAAUAAAACUGUAAGAGUUCUCAUUACUGGCAGCUGCCUGCACUGGUAUUGGGAAUAAAUAUUUAUUGUUUGUUUACACUUAGAAUUCGAUUCUCUUGAUUCUUUUGGUCUAAACCAAAAAUAAAACGAUAGGCCUACAUUUAGUCCUGGUUCACCUGUUAUUUUUUACAAGUUUAUAAAACAGACAAAUGAAGAUCUGCUGCAAGGAAACGGCGGUUCGACAUCUGUACUGAACUGUAUUGGGCAACAUACCUCCUAUAACAGGAAGAACCAGGAAUCGAAUGGACCAUGAUCAGUAAAAAUUUACAUGAAGAAUGGAAUGCAUCACAUUAUUCAUGCGAGCCUUUGCAAGCAGAUGUCCAAGACUGCUGUAUGAGUUCGUAUUUUUGGGCCAAACAGAGACAAAUUGCAGCUUGGCAAGGCAUCGUGCAUCUGUGAUUUUGGAACAGGUGUUAACAGACCUGAAGAUGCAUUUUUAUUCGACAUCAAUGGGAAAAACACAACCUGUGCAGGUUUUCUGCUGCAGACUAAUGUAAAUUAAUGACCAUGUGGUGUGAAAAACAUCCUCACUCCAUUUUUCACAAUGCAUAUGCUACAAAACAAAGACUUAAAGGCAUUGAUUUUAAAAGUUCCUGCAUCUGUAUCCUAAAAUGUCAAACAGUUUUCAAGACAAGGCAGUAAGUAUUGUGUGAAUGACAGGAAACCUGGUCUUGUCACCAU